AGGCUGACCGGCGCCCGCGGUGACAGGAACCCGGUGUGAUUCCGGGGCGGUUCCGCCACUGUGACGCCGUCGCCGGCCGACGGCUCAGCCAGACACUGGCCGCGGGUCCGUCCGACCG
rnacentral:ncRNA from 2 species